CAGAAUUUAAGGAGACGAGGGAAAGUGAGCGACAGACGAAGGGAGCGAGCCGUAGGCGACGGGUGGGGGGUGGAAGGAGGAACUGAGCGAGAGUCUCCGUGAGGAGCGGAGCUCGCACGGCCGCCUGCCCGUCCAGCCGUGAGGAGCAGGAAACGUGGUGGAGACAGAGGAAAAAGGAGUCACCAUCGGGAGGAUGCCCCACGCAGCUCAUCGCUCAGACCGCAGUAAUAUAGAAACACAGAGUGACGGAGGAGGACGUCCGGACUGGUGAUCCACUGCGGUGUGUAGCACUGCCCCCUCGUGGCCGCGGGGAGACACGGCGGGCUGUGGUGUGCUGCCCCCUGGUGGCCGCGGGGAGACAAGGCGGGCUGUGGUGUGCUGCCCCCUGGUGGCCGCGGGGAUACACGGCGGGCUCUGUUGUGCUGCCCCUUGGUGGCGACGGGGAGACACGGCGGCUCUCUGCAGGUAGGCACUAACGAUGCACUGUUCCUCCCUCCGGACUCUAACUACCUCAGUGCCUGGUGUGAUGCAUGCUAGGAUAUGGGUCUGCUCGCCAUAGGGCCUCUGAGGGUCAGAACCAUCAGAACGAAAACCAUCAGGACCAGACCGGGCUACACCAGACCCAUCAGAACCAGACCGGGCUACACCAGACCCAUCUGGACCAGACCGGGCUACACCAGACCCAUCUGGACCAGACCGGACUACACCAGAACCAUCAGGACCAGACCGGGCUACACCAGAACCAUCAGGACCAGAUCAUUUAUUUAUUUAUUUAUUUAUAUAU